rnacentral:rRNA from 1 species
GCAAGUCGAGCGGUAACAGGGGUAGCUUGCUACCCGCUGACGAGCGGCGGACGGGUUAGUAAUUCUUAGGAAGCUGCCCUAACGAGGGGGAUAACAGUUGGCAACGACUGCUAAUACCGCAUAACCUCUUUGGAGUAAAGCGGGGGACCUUCGGGUCUCGCGCGUUAGGAUGCGCCCGAGUGGGAUUAGCUAGUUGGUGGGGUAAUGGCUCACCAAGGCGACGAUCUCUAGCUGGUCUGAGAGGAUGAUC